AUGAACGCUGGCGGCGUGCCUAAUACAUGCAAGUCGCGCGAACAGACGAGGAGCUUGCUCCUCUGACGUUAGCGGCGGACGGGUGAGUAACACGUGGAUAACGUACCUAUAAGACUGGGAUAACUUCGGGAAACCGGAGCUAAUACCGGAUAAUAUAUUGAACCGCAUGGUUCAAUAGUGAAAGACGGUUUUGCUGUCACUUAUAGAUGGAUCCGCGCCGCAUUAGCUAGUUGGUAAGGUAACGGCUUACCAAGGCAACGAUGCGUAGCCGACCUGGGAGGGUGAUCGGCCACACUGGAACUGAGACACGGUCCAGACUCCUACGGGAGGCAGCAGUAGGGAAUCUUCCGCAAUGGGCGAAAGCCUGACGGAGCAACGCCGCGUGAGUGAUGAAGGUCUUCGGAUCGUAAAACUCUGUUAUUAGGGAAGAACAAAUGUGUAAGUAACUAUGCACGUCUUGACGGUACCUAAUCAGAAAGCCACGGCUAACUACGUG
rnacentral:rRNA from 1 species